rnacentral:lncRNA from 1 species
UCGAUCUCGACCUUGUUAAUUGCUAUGCCUCUUUGGCUUUGCCCUUCAUUUUUUGGGUGUAUGUACAAUCCUGGGCAAUGCGAUAGCAUUCUCGGAAAGUGCGUUGUUCUCCUUGGAUGCUGUAUACUUCCCAUGGGGUGGGAAAUUUGAUAACUUGGUACAAACUGGAGGGGAUGGCCUUCAUGGCUUGUCCAAGGACGACCUAUUAUGGCAUCGAAAGUCGUGUCCUAAUCCAUGAUGUGGAAUGUGGUCUCUAGAGUGAUGCCGCCAGCCAGGAUGGGGAGUGUGAUUUCUCUGGACGUUCGUUCAACUACAUUGUUAAAACCGGUUAGUGUGAUGCAGUGUGGUACUAUUCUAUGCUCGAGUUUCAUCUGUUCAAGUACUCGAGGAUGGAUAAUGCACAUGCCGCUCCCAUCGUCCACCAUAAUACGUCCCACAUCUAUAUCUAAUAUGUGUAAAGUGAUAACAACAACAUCAUAGUGAGGAAAAAAACCAAAUAGUGGGUAUCUGACUUAUCGAAGAUGAUACUUUAUUCAAGUUCAUCGUACCGUUAAUGAGUGAUCGACCGUUUGAGUUUGUGGGUGGUAGUGAAUUUUACGAUGUUGAUCGAUGCGUCAUCACCCCCUCUGAUGAUCAUUUGAAUGGUUCAAGUUGGAGAAGGCAGUUUUGGUGGGCCCUAGUGUUGUUCACUCUCUCGAGCGAAGUUGGCCCUUCCUCGGUCGCUCAACAUCUCUUUCAAGUUCCCUUGGUGAAGCAUGUUCACGACCUCUUGUCUUAGAGCAAUGCAGUCCUCGGUUUUAUGACCUCGUUCCUGGUGGAAUUCAUAGAGGGCAUUUGACUUCCUGGUUCGGGUCAGACCUCAUCUUCUGCGGCCACUUCACUUUUGGGCCGAGCUUCUCCAAUGCAUAGACUAUUUCUGAGCGUGAAACACAAAAAUUGUGAGCAGAUAAUAAGGGAGGUAUACCUCGCUCACUUCGGUGAGUCCCUAUUAUUGGCCUAGAUGAGCCUUCAUCGUGGUGGAUAGGCGGCAUGAUGGUGCCUCUGACAUAUAGUUGAAGUCUUUCUCGGUUGGGCCGUAGGCCUGCUUGAUCCCUUCUAUUGUCAUUUAUCCGGUCUUUUUUGGACUCGGCUUGUACUGAGGUUAACCGUAGGGUUGUUCCAUUUAGGUCCUCCUCGUCAGCUCGGACCUCAGUGCAAUAGGCAUUGUGUAUUUCAUCCCAAGUGGUCGGGGGAUACUUCAUGAGCCGACUCAGCAACUUUCUGGUCGUCCUUGAACUGCUUUUGUUCAACCCAUUCUGGAAAGCUUCCACAACCGUUCCUUCCGAUACACUCGGUAAGGUCAUCUUUACAUGGUUAAAUCGAGCGAGGAAGUCCUUAGUCCUUCUCCGGGUGAUUGUUUGAUGGCAAAUAUAUCAUUCACUCUUGCCUCUGCCUUCUUAGCUUCGGCAUGGGCGUUAGGAACUUGUCGACCAUCUCUUCGAAUGUUUUAAUGGAGCGCGCAGGCAGCUGCGAAUACCAAGUUAAUACGCCCUCGGUGAGGGUUUCGCCAAACUUUUUUAAUAAGAUGGAGGAUACUUGCUCUUUGGCGAGGUUGUUGCCUUUUACUGCGGUGACAUAGUGAGUCACAUGAUCCUCAGGGUCUGUUGUGCCAUCGUAUAUUUUCAGGUACGACGACAUUUUGAAGGUUUUAGGUAUGACAUGUGAUGCGGCGUCAUCACUAUACGACUGCUCAACAAACAGACCGGCGUCACUUUUUGGUAAGAGUUUUGGGGCGCCCGGUAUUUUGCCUGCCCUUUCUUGAUGCUCUUUCAUUUGGUCUCGGAGCAUUUUAUUUUUGUUUUCCACCUCUUCCAUCUUCCUUAAAACGACUGUGAGGGUUUAGUCACCUGCAUUAUUAACAUUAUGGAUGAUACCUGCUGGGGGGAAGGGCCGUGCAGCUCGACUGCUAUUGGUGCAACGCAAGUUCUUGUGCUCUCUCUGAUCGCCUUUUGGGUGGGUUUGUCGAAGAUGCUGGUCAACGUGUUUGUCAGCCAAGCUUCGAGUAGCUUCUUUACCGCCGGUGGUGCCUCUUCCGUUGUGGACAUGGAAUCUCCUUUACCGUGGGACGUUGUGAUACUGCCAUGAGGAAGGGGUGAUCCACAUCGCCUGGGAGAGGCAUUUGGUGUUAUAUCCUCACCCUCUGUUUCAGAGAAAUCGUUGAUGGUGUUUAAGAGGUUGGUGAUGAGAUCGUCUACCACCUUCAUCCUUUCUUAUCCGUUACUUGUCAUCUUAGAUCUGUGUGCACAAAAAGGUAUAGGAUUUUGUAUUUUUUUUGUGGUUAUAGAUCUAGAAGAAACUAAAAUUUUACUUAGGAAAUUCCCACAGACGGCACCGCAUUGUUUGAUUAAAAAAAAUACGAAUCUUUGGUUAAACCAAUUAAUUAGAUAGAUAAAGGGUUAUCCUAGUUAAAGAUAAUAACUUUAGAUCUAAAAUCGGCCUACGUGGAUGAUGUAGAAUAGUGUCGGAAUAGAUUUAAUGUAACAUGUAUUAAAUGUUCAGGGUCAAUAAUGGGAUAAGAAUAACAAGCAUUAAAUAACAAUAAAUGACACUAAAUGUAAAUAAAAGAAUGAUUCACCCAAUAUUAAAUGAGGUGGAUGAUUAUUCUUUCUGACAAUGAUGAAUGACAAAUAACUUAUGACAAUAUUGGAGACUUUCUCGAAUCUGAUGUGAAAAGUGUAGAAUAAUCAACCAAACGAAUCUCUUUAGAAAUGUGGUGCUUAUCCAGAGAGUCGGCUCUUCAUGAAAGUUCUUAUUAGAAUCAAUAAUACCUUCCUUUUACCUUAUCUCUUUCUAUUUAUAUGAGACAUACCCCCAUCAACCCUAAAAGUACAAGUACAAAGAAAUUCAAUGGAAUAUUCUCCUAAAGACCCUAUUAUAAAACUAGCCGUUACUGUUGCUCUCAGCAUUUGACCUCGGCCAUAAUCGACUGCUUGACGAUGAGUUCCAUUAGUCAUUAAUCGAUCUCGGCCGAAUUAAUUCUAAUAAUACCUCUUCGUGCCAAAUUCCCUUAGUCAGAUUUUGAUUAUCCUGAUGGAGAACCUUACUAGAUGGAUUAAAAGGGUCCCAAUUAAUGUUAUUCAACAAAUAUAGUUACUAUUAUAAAGUGAGGAUGCAUAUAUCGGACAGUAUAAAAGCUUUCACAAAUUUAAAUUGAGUUUACAUUAUUUAGAACUAACUUUGCAAUAGAAGAUUACGUUAUCUUAAAUCCCGUACCCAUUCGACCAACAAUAUCACAAUAACAUGAGACGCCAAAAAUGAUCAAAACGCAGGGGCUAACUCUGCAUCUAUAUGGUUACAUUCUCCAAGUGGAACAAAACGCCACUAAUUUACAAAAACAUAACAAUAGAAAUCAUUGAGAAACAAAGUUGUUGGCUGUUCCCCUCAGUUGGAUGAUUUGGAGAUGAGAAAUUUGAGACUCUGUUGGUGACUUUGGUCCCAAAAGUUUAAUGCUGUGUCCAUACAAUGAUGCUUCUUCUUUCGUAGUAUUCAACAAUGACCUUAACUAUAUAUAUUGAUAAUAUAAAUUUUCUACAUUAUCUGCUCGCUUGAAAUGUAAUUGCAGGCAACUAUAUAAAACAAUUGAACUACUAACCUAAACAAUAACACAAGCUGCAACCUGAUGCACUAGGUUAAAUUGCAAUGGGGUGUAAAUAUUUGAUUGCACUUUCAGUAAAUAAAAGUUUUAGUCGUACAGUUUCAUCGUAUACAAGACUGCAAGUUUGCCGUUUUGAAAAAGUUGGAUUUUCAUGCGCAUAAUUUGUUAAUCUAAUUUAAUAAUGUUGUCCGUCAAAAUAACCUAUUUGAUCAAUUUAGCACAGAGGGAAUGUAAUACAAAAACCUUGGAUAAAGGCACUUGUAAUUAGCGGAAAGGAGAAAACACAUGAAAUCAUGAAGUUUACUGAUCUUAACAUUUUCAAAUAAGGAAACGGAGCUGUUGUAAAGAAAAAGGGACAAUAUUAUAGACACUUUACAUAAAGAUAAUUUAUUAGAUUUUGGUUUAAGGUAUAUUGAAAAAAAAUAUAAAAAUUGUGGUUUAUGGUACAUAGAAAAAGAAAUGUAAAAAUGGUGACCAUUUUGUUAAUGAGAAAAUUAGUGGUUGAUGCCAUAGACCACAAGAGUAUGUAUCAAACAAAAAUGUAUGAGGAAACAACAAGACAAUUAAUUGGUGGUGCAUUAUAUUUCCGCUAUAUACAAAAGCUUAAGUGGGUGUUCUAGUAUAUACAAGAGUUUAAGAAAAGAGUCAGACCACAUUUUUGCAAAAAAAAAAAUAAAAAAAAUACAGUUUUGUUUAUGUAAAUUAAAAGCACAUAGUGAAAAAUCUAUAUUUUGGGCGUAAGUACGUGUAUACAAACAAUUAAUACUAACCAACAUUCUUUCGAGACCAAAGUCACCAACAAAGUAUCAUCUUCUGCUUCUUCUUCAAUUUCCCCUUUGUAUAUCCAGUGUAGCAAAUUUGACUCCUUUUAUAGAUUACUUGUACCAUGUCACAAACGUACAUUUCUUUACAACAAUAGUAGCAAGUACAUUGAUUGUACUACAAGUAGUAAAAUGUUGUCCAUUUUAUCAAAGUCCCAAGUUUUUUUUCGUACAUCAUUGUACUAGGUUCUUGUACUGCUAAU